UCUUCACUUCUCUUUCUAAGAAAACCCUCCCUCUCCCUCUGUUUUCUCUUCUUCCCUCACGUGUUCCUCCAUCCUUCACCUCAAUUUAUCUAAUUCUUCUCAAAUCAAGUAGAAAUCAACAUUCAAUCCCAUCUUCACACUCUAAUUGGCAAACUAAACUAGAAUCCAACUUUAAAUUUCUUCCCCUCCCUUUUAUUCCUCUCAGUCGAACCCUCUUUAAGAAAGAAAAUUGGAAAAGUUCAUUGUUUAAGCUCAUCAAAAACAUUGCAUGUGAAGCCUGGCUGAUUUGUUGUGUUGUUUGGUUGCUGCAAGAGCUUGGGUACUAACUACUGACUAUGGGUGAUUCAUUCUCUAAAGGAAGUAGUUGAAGUGGAAGGUUGAGAGAAAGCUAGGGCUUUAUCAAGGACGUUGAUGCAUAAACUAAAAGUUGAUAUUUAAGCUAAACUAAGUUGUUCUAAGACUAGGGCUGGUACAAAGAUUAUGGAUGAUCAAAAAGGGUUUCAAGGGGAUAUUAGAAGUGGUUUUUGCUGCUAUUUGGAAUGAGAACAUGUAAACAGAAGCAAGAAUCAAUGAUUAAGGUAUGAAUUUUUAAGCUGUUUGGACAUGUUCUGAUAUUUGGGUUGUAUCAUUUAGUGUGUAACUGUUUUUUUCUCUCUUAAAUGAAGGGUGUAAAGAAU
rnacentral:lncRNA from 1 species